rnacentral:rRNA from 1 species
AACGAACGCUGGCGGCGUGCCUGAGACAUGCAAGUCGUGGGAGAAAGUCGGAGCAAUCCGGCUAGUAAACCGGCGCACGGGUGAGUAACACGUGGACAACCUGCCUUGGAGUUCGGGAUAACCCGUCGAAAGACGGACUAAUACCGGAUAUGACCACGGGGAGUUCGCUCUCUGAGGUAAAAGAUGGCCUCUGCUCCUGCAAGCUAUCUCUUCGAGAGGGGCCCNCGUCCUACAGCUAGUUGGUGAGGUAACGGCUCACCAAGGCUAAGACGGGUAGCUGGUCUGAGAGGAUGGUCAGCCACACUGGGACUGAGACACGGCCCAGAGUCCUACGGGAUGCAGCAGUCAGGAAUAUUGCGCAAUGGAGGAAACUCUGACG